CGGAGGAUCCAAGCGUUAUCCGGAAUCAUUGGGUUUAAAGGGUCCGUAGGCGGUCUUGUAAGUCAGUGGUGAAAGCCCAUCGCUCAACGGUGGAACGGCCAUUGAUACUGCAGGACUUGAAUUAUUGGGAAGUAACUAGAAUAUGCAGUGUAGCGGUGAAAUGCUUAGAGAUUACAUGGAAUACCAAUUGCGAAGGCAGGUUACUACCAAUUGAUUGACGCUGAUGGACGAAAGCGUGGGUAGCGAACAGGAUUAGAUACCCUGGUAGUCCACGCCGUAAACGAUGGAUACUAGCUGUUGGGAGCAAUUUCAGUGGCUAAGCGAAAGUGAUAAGUAUCCCACCUGGGGAGUACGUUCGCAAGAAUG
rnacentral:rRNA from 1 species